rnacentral:misc_RNA from 1 species
CCUGAGUUUACAACUCUCCAACCCUGUGACAUACCACUUGAUUGCCUCUGGCUGAUCAGGCCGGCGGUCCCCGGGGGAAACGGGACGAGGCGCCUGCCAGGAGGAUCCCUAAACUCUGUUUCUAUAGUGUACUUUCUGAGUAAAACCAUAAAUGAAUCA